CUGAGUGGGAGUCAGAAGCUAGCUUUUGAGACAUCUUCGCCUCUCUCAGAGAUAGUUAUCUCAGUGGUGAAUCAUCUUGCUGUGACUCCCCCGGAUGUCUCCAGCUGCCCCCUCACUUUCUCUUGUGCGGAACUCUGAAUUGUAUCCAGCACUCUACUUCACCGUCAGUUUUCCUGAAACUCAAUGAAGAAAAGGAUCCUGGAUCAAUCAGACCAUGGUUCAUUUGUCUCAGAGUGGCCUGCUCUUCUGGAUCCGAAAGAAUAUUCCAUCCUGGAUAAAGAACAAAAUUUUGUAAGUGGUUCGUUCCACUUUAAAGUUCAAGAUUUAGUUAUAGAC